rnacentral:rRNA from 1 species
AGAGUUUGAUCCUGGCUCAGAGCGAACGCUGGCGGCAUGCUUAACACAUGCAAGUCGCACGGUUUGGGGGCAACUCCAGGCAGUGGCGGACGGGUGAGUAAUGCGUAGGUAUCUAUCGUUGGGUGUGGGACAACCGCGGGAAACUGCGGCUAAUACCGCAUGAUGACUGAGGUCCAAAGCUCGUGAGAGCGCCUGACGAG